CCUACGGGAGGCAGCAGUGGGGAAUAUUGGACAAUGGGGGCAACCCUGAUCCAGCCAUGCCGCGUGAGUGAUGAAGGCCCUAGGGUUGUAAAGCUCUUUUGUGCGGGAAGAUAAUGACGGUACCGCAAGAAUAAGCCCCGGCUAACUUCGUGCCAGCAGCCGCGGUAAUACGAAGGGGGCUAGCGUUGCUCGGAAUCACUGGGCGUAAAGGGUGCGUAGGCGGGUUUUUAAGUCAGGGGUGAAAUCCUGGAGCUCAACUCCAGAACUGCCCUUGAUACUGAAGAUCUUGAGUCCGGGAGAGGUGGGUGGAGCUGCGAGUGUAGAGGUGAAAUUCGUAGAUAUUCGCAAGAACACCAGUGGCGAAGGCGGCUCACUGGCCCGGUACUGACGCUGAGGCACGAAAGCGUGGGGAGCAAACAGGAUUAGAUACCCCGGUAGUCC
rnacentral:rRNA from 1 species